rnacentral:rRNA from 1 species
AGAUUGAACGCUGGCGGCAGGCCUAACACAUGCAAGUCGAGCGGUAGAGAGGUGCUUGCAUCUCUUGAGAGCGGCGGACGGGUGAGUAAUGCCUAGGAAUCUGCCUAGUGGUGGGGGAUAACGUUCGGAAACGGACGCUAAUACCGCAUACGUCCUACGGGAGAAAGCGGGGGACCUUCGGGCCUCGCGCCAUUAGAUGAGCCUAGGUCGGAUUAGCUAGUUGGUGAGGUAAUGGCUCACCAAGGCGACGAUCCGUAACUGGUCUGAGAGGAUGAUCAGUCACACUGGAACUGAGACACGGUCCAGACUCCUACGGGAGGCAGCAGUGGGGAAUAUUGGACAAUGGGCGAAAGCCUGAUCCAGCCAUGCCGCGUGUGUGAAGAAAGGUCUUCGGAUUGUAAAGCAACUUUAAGUAGGAAGGAAGGUUGUAAACCUAAAUAACGUUGACAACUUUUCGAACGUUACCGAACAAGAAUAAAGCAACCGGUCUAACUUACGUGCCAGCAGCCCG